rnacentral:rRNA from 1 species
UACGAAGGGGGCUAGCGUUGCUCGGAAUCACUGGGCGUAAAGCGCACGUAGGCGGCUUGUUAAGUCGGGGGUGAAAUCCUGGAGCUCAACUCCAGAACUGCCUUCGAUACUGGCGAUCUUGAGUCCGGGAGAGGUGAGUGGAACUCCGAGUGUAGAGGUGAAAUUCGUAGAUAUUCGGAAGAACACCAGUGGCGAAGGCGGCUCACUGGCCCGGUACUGACGCUGAGGUGCGAAAGCGUGGGGAGCGAACAGG